UGCGCAUGUGUCCUGGGAUUACUAGAUUGCGCCUACUUUGUCAUCCAGUUUUAGCCAUACCCUACCUUCCUACCUCAGUAGGAUAUGAUUUGGUGAUUCUAUAUGCUAACCUGUAGAGGAGAGUCUGUAUUAGGAAAGACGUGGAGAAGAACUGCGUUUCUCCUCUGCUAUGCAUUAGAACUCUAGGAAGAAAGUGACAAAUUCAAAGAUGGAGAUAGAAUGAAGCUAAAGAACAAUCACUUGCCUGAGGCCAUUUGAGGAAAAAAACCAAGAAGGGCCUAGAACAGUGCCUGGCACAUAAUGUGCAGUAAAUAUUUAUUGAAUGGAUGAAGGAAUACAUGAACACUUUCACUUCACCACUAGAGCAUGGACAUCUUGCUGAUGAUAGAAUCUGGAUGUUGCACUUGCUAGUGCUCUCUUUAUAGCUGUGGACAGAUGUGAACAGUCCAUUGCCAUGGACUCCUUAGACUAUUUUGGCAUUUGACAGAGCAACAGUUUCACUGUCUGUGUGUGAUUUCAGAGGAAAACAAGACCUAAAAGAAAGAUUUCAUGAAAAAUACAUCAUCAUAACAUUGAUGUAUGGACCCUGUAACAUCCAAUUUCUUAAAGGCAUCUGUAGCUACUAAGGAUGCUGGUCAUGCCCUCAUCAACACACGGACAAUAUAAAUGAGAUGAUGCUUCAUGGAACAUAAUGCACACAGAUGCUUUUCUAAAAUAUACUCACAUCUUCGAAAAUAA